rnacentral:rRNA from 1 species
ACGGGCGGGGCGAGCGUUGUUCGGAUUCAUUGGGUGUAAAGGGUGCGAAGGCGGUCGUCUAAGUCGAAGGUGAAAUGUCUACGGCUCAACCGAGGCAUUGCCUCCGAUACUGGACGACUUGAGUGCGGAAGGGGAGCGUGGAAUUCCUGGUGUAGCGGUGAAAUGCGUAGAUAUCAGGAGGAACACCGGUGGCGAAGGCGACGCUCUGGUCCGCAACUGACGCUCAUGCACGAAAGCCAGGGGAGCGAACGG